rnacentral:rRNA from 1 species
UACGUAGGGUGCAAGCGUUGCCCGGAUUUAUUGGGCGUAAAGGGCGCGUAGGCGGCUCUGCACGUCCGUUGUGAAAUCGCCCGGCUCAACUGGGCGGGGUCAGCGGAUACGGCAGAGCUUGAGCAAGCUAGGGGGCAAUGGAAUUCCCGGUGUAGUGGUGGAAUGCGUAGAUAUCGGGAGGAACACCAGUAGCGAAGGCGGCACUCUGGGCCGUGACUGACGCUGAGGAGCGAAAGCGUGGGUAGCAAACAGG